rnacentral:rRNA from 1 species
GUGCCAGCCGCCGCGGUAAUACGUAGGACGCGAGCGUUAUCCGGAUUUACUGGGCGUAAAGCGCAUGCAGGCGGCCUUGUAAGUCGGAUGUGAAAUCUCCCGGCUCAACUGGGAGGCGUCAUUCGAUACUGCAAGGCUUGAGGGCAGGAGAGGGGAGUGGAAUUCCCGGUGUAGUGGUGAAAUGCGUAGAUAUCGGGAGGAACACCAGUGGCGAAGGCGGCUCCCUGGCCUGUACCUGACGCUAAGAUGCGAAAGCGUGGGGAGCGAACGGGAUUAGAAACCCCGGUAGUCCACGCCGUAAACGAUGCGGACUAGGUGUGGGAGGUAUUGACCCCUUCCGUGCCGUAGCUAACGCGUUAAGUCCGCCGCCUGGGGACUACGGCCGCAAGGCUAAAACUCAAAGGAAUUGGCGGGG